ensembl:ncRNA F14D12.10 ncRNA
UAUUGACGCGCAGUGCCGCUUAUCUGCAUUUGGGCGUGAAAUCAAAGGUUUGGUGCUUACACCACAUGAUACGUGCAUGCGCCCGACUCUUUUUGGGUUUAGCGCUGCACUGUAAAGAAGCGCGGAAUGCGGUCCCUGAAACACUGUGAAAUUGUUAGUGCUGUGUAGAAUUUUCAAUUCAAU